rnacentral:lncRNA from 1 species
AUUAUGUACUGAUGGAGAUACUGAGAUUAUCCAAAGGUGACUGGAGUACUCAGUUUUAUAAGGGAGACAAACAGGUGCCCUACCAUAUGGCAACACGAUGUUCCACGAUAAAACUGACACAAAAAACAAUGCGAAAUUUGUCUAAGAGAGGUUCAGCAAGCAUGAGAAAAACAUCUGAUAUCUCUCGGAGCCCGCCAAGUUCACAGCUUACAGUGCCAGAGUAA